rnacentral:rRNA from 1 species
UACGGAGGGUGCAAGCGUUGUCCGGAAUCACUGGGCGUAAAGGGCGCGUAGGCGGCUCAUGAAGGCUGUGGUGAAAGUCCGGGGCUCAACCUCGGAUCGGCCGUGGCGACUCGUGGGCUGGAGCACUGUAGAGGCGGGUGGAAUUCCGGGUGUAGCGGUGAAAUGCGUAGAUAUCGCCUGGAACGCCAAAGGUGAAAACAGACAGCUGGGAGUGUGCUGACGCUGAGACACGAAAGCCAGGGGAGCGAACGGG